CAACUUUUAACAACGGAUCUCUUGGUUCUCGCAUCGAUGAAGAACGUAGCAAAGUGCGAUAACUAGUGUGAAUUGCAUAUUCAGUGAAUCAUCGAGUCUUUGAACGCAUCUUGCACCUGCUGGUAUUCCAGCAGGUACGCCUGUUUCAGUAUCAGAA
rnacentral:rRNA from 1 species